rnacentral:tRNA from 1 species
GGCCACGUGGCGAAGCUGGUUAACGCGGCGGUCUGCAAAACCGCUAUGCGUCGGUUCAAGUCCGACCGUGGCCU